GGGAUCUCUGGAAAGGAAGGAAAGCAGACGUCAGUGUCUGUGUAUCUCGGAGGAGCAGUCUACACAGGUAGCUAAUGAAUAUGCUGCCUCCGACACCCGAGGGCAUCCUCGGGCAAUGCACUGGCACGGCGCCAGCAGGAAUCAAGCUUGUCAUCAUUCAGGCCACAGGCAGAGGAGUGACAGUCCAUCUCUCUCCUACACACCUGCAACCAACGACUCAUCAAGCCCUUGCACACCUGCGGUUCAUCCAAUCAGCCUGCUCCAGCAGUAUAAAACCCUGGCUCUCCUCUCCAGUCUUUGCCAGAUUGUUAGUUUAUCUAUGUGGUCAUGCAGUGAGAAAUAGACUGGUCCUGGGUUAAGAAUAUCUGACUGAUGAAUAUGCUGUGUGUGUGUCUCAGGAUCAUACUCUCAUGUUUAAUCUGCCUGAUGUUCCCAGCCUGUCUGUCUUCCUGCCUAUUUCACUGCGAGAUUUCGAGUCAACCUCUCAAACCCUCUGCUCCCAGCGUUGUGAAAUAAACUGUUUAAACUUA